rnacentral:rRNA from 1 species
UACAGAGGUGGCAAGCGUUGUUCGGAAUUACUGGGCGUAAAGGGCGCGUAGGCGGCCUACUAAGUCAGACGUGAAAUCCCUCGGCUUAACCGGGGAACUGCGUCUGAUACUGGAUGGCUUGAGUUCGGGAGAGGGAUGCGGAAUUCCAGGUGUAGCGGUGAAAUGCGUAGAUAUCUGGAGGAACAUCGGUGGCGAAGGCGGCAUCCUGGACCGGUAUUGACGCUGAGGCGCGAAAGCCAGGGAGCAAAGCGGG